rnacentral:rRNA from 1 species
CCUACGGGAGGCAGCAGUGAGGAAUAUUGGUCAAUGGGCGAGAGCCUGAACCAGCCAAGUCGCGUGAGGGAGUACUGCCCUAUGGGUUGUAAACUUCUUUUAUAUGGGAAUAAAAUGUUCCACGUGUGGGAUUUUGUAUGUACCAUAUGAAUAAGGAUCGGCUAACUCCGUGCCAUCAGCCGCGGUAAUACGGAGGAUCCGAGCGUUAUCCGGAUUGAGUGGGUUUAAAGGGAGCGUAGGUGGAUUGUUAAGUCAGUUGUGAAAGUUUGCGGCUCAACCGUAAAAUUGCAGUUGAAACUGGCAGACUUGAGUACAGUAGAGGUGGGCGGAAUUCGUGGUGUAGCGGUGAAAUGCUUAGAUAUCACGAAGAACUCCGAUUGCGAAGGCAGCUCACUGGACUGCAACUGACACUGAGGCUCGAAAGUGUGGGUAUCAAACAGGAUUAGAUACCCUUGUAGUC